rnacentral:rRNA from 1 species
AGUGAACGCUGGCGGUAGGCCUAACACAUGCAAGUCGAACGGCAGCACAGUAAGAGCUUGCUCUUACGGGUGGCGAGUGGCGGACGGGUGAGGAAUACAUCGGAAUCUACUUUUUCGUGGGGGAUAACGUAGGGAAACUUACGCUAAUACCGCAUACGACCUACGGGUGAAAGCAGGGGAUCUUCGGACCUUGCGCGAUUGAAUGAGCCGAUGUCGGAUUAGCUAGUUGGCGGGGUAAAGGCCCACCAAGGCGACGAUCCGUAGCUGGUCUGAGAGGAUGAUCAGCCACACUGGAACUGAGACACGGUCCAGACUCCUACGGGACGCAGCAGUGGGGAAUAUUGGACAAUGGGCGCAAGCCUGAUCCAGCCAUACCGCGUGGGUGAAGAAGGCCUUCGGGUUGUAAAGCGCUUUUGUUGGGAAAGAAAAGCAGCAGGUUAAUACCCCGCUGUUCUGACGGUACCCAAAGAAUAAGCACCGGCUAACUUCGG